rnacentral:rRNA from 1 species
AGCGAACGCUGGCGGCAGGCUUAACACAUGCAAGUCGAGCGGGCAUCCUUGUGGUGUCAGCGGCAGACGGGUGAGUAACGCGUGGGAACGUGCCCUUCGGUUCGGAAUAACUCAGGGAAACUUGAGCUAAUACCGGAUACGUGCCAGAGCAGAAAGGUUUAUCUGCCGAAGGAUCGGCCCGCGUCUGAUUAGCUAGUUGGUGAGGUUAUGGCUCACCAAGGCGACGAUCAGUAGCUGGUCUGAGAGGAUGAUCAGCCACACUGGGACUGAGACACGGCCCCGACUCCUAGGGGAGGCAGCAGUGGGGAAUAUUGGACAAUGGGGGCAACCCUGAUCCAGCCAUGCCGCGUGAGUGAUGACGGCCUUAGGGUUGUGAAGCUCUUUUCUCCGGGACGAUAAUGACGGUACCGGAUGAAUAAGCCCCGGCUAACUUCGUG